CACGUAGGGCGCAAGCGUUGUCCGGAGUUAUUGGGCGUAAAGAGCUCGUAGGCGGUCUGUUGCGUCCGCUGUGAAAACUCGGGGCUUAACCCCGAGCCUGCAGUGGAUACGGGCAGACUAGAGGUAGGUAGGGGAGAAUGGAAUUCCCGGUGUAGCGGUGAAAUGCGCAGAUAUCGGGAGGAACACCGGUGGCGAAGGCGGUUCUCUGGGCCUUACCUGACGCUGAGGAGCGAAAGCGUGGGGAGCGAACAGG
rnacentral:rRNA from 1 species